GGGGGAUAACCUGGGGAAACUCGGGCUAAUACCGCAUAUCUCUUCGGGGCUUCGGUCUUGAAGGGAAAGCUGGCCAAUACAUGUAAGCUGGCACUCUCAGAGGGGCCCGCGCUCGAUUAGCUUGAUGGUGGGGUAACGGCUCAUCAUGGCGACGAUCGAUAGCCGGCCUGAGAGGGCGAUCGGCCACACUGGGACUGAGACACGGCCCAG
rnacentral:rRNA from 1 species